UACGGAGGGUGCGAGCGUUGUCCGGAAUCACUGGGCGUAAAGGGUGCGUAGGCGGCGCGGUAAGUCGGGUGUGAAAUCUCGGAGCUUAACUUCGAAACUGCAUUCGAUACUGCCGUGCUUGAGGACUGGAGAGGAGACUGGAAUUUACGGUGUAGCGGUGAAAUGCGUAGAUAUCGUAAGGAAGACCAGUGGCGAAGGCGGGUCUCUGGACAGUUCCUGACGCUGAGGCACGAAGGCCAGGGGAGCAAACGGG
rnacentral:rRNA from 1 species